UGUGCCGUGUCAUAUAGGGCUGUCUCAAAGAUAAGCCAUUGCACUGUCCUAAGUAUAAGGCAAUUUUAUACAGCGAAACUGCGAAUGGCUCAUUAUAUAAGUUAUCGUUUAUUUGAUAGUACCUUACUACUUGGAUAACCGUGGUAAUUCUAGAGCUAAUACAUGCUAAAAAUCCCGACUUCGGAAAGGGAUGUAUUUAUUAGAUUAAAACCCAAUGCCCCUCGGGGCUCUCUGGUGAUUCAUAAUAACUUCUCGAAUCGCACGGCCUUGCGCCGGCGAUGGUUCAUUCAAAUUUCUUCCCUAUCAACUUUCGAUGUUUGGGUAGUGGCCAAACAUGGUUGCAACGGGUAACGGAGGGUUAGGGCUCGACCCCGGAGAAGGAGCCUGAGAAACGGCUACUACAUCCAAGGAAGGCAGCAGGCGCGCAAAUUACCCAAUCCCGAUUCGGGGAGGUAGUGACAAUAAAUACUGAUACAGGGCUCUUUCGGGUCUUGUAAUUGGAAUGAGUACAAUUUAAAUCCCUUAACGAGGAACAAUUGGAGGGCAAGUCUGGUGCCAGCAGCCGCGGUAAUUCCAGCUCCAAUAGCGUAUAUUAAAGUUGUUGUGGUUAAAAAGCUCGUAGUUGAACCUUGGGCCUGGCUGGCCGGUCCGCCUCACCGCGUGUCACUGGUCCGGCCGGGUCUUUCCCUCUGUGGAACCACAUGCCCUUCACUGGGCGUGGCGGGGAAACAGGACUUUUACUUUGAAAAAAUUAGAGUGCUCCAGGCAGGCCUAUGCUCGAAUACAUUAGCAUGGAAUAAUGAAAUAGGACGUGCGGUUCUAUUUUGUUGGUUUCUAGGACCGCCGUAAUGAUUAAUAGGGACAGUCGGGGGCAUCAGUAUUCAAUUGUCAGAGGUGAAAUUCUUGGAUUUAUUGAAGACUAACUACUGCGAAAGCAUUUGCCAAGGAUGUUUUCAUUAAUCAGGAACGAAAGUUAGGGGAUCGAAGACGAUCAGAUACCGUCGUAGUCUUAACCAUAAACUAUGCCGACUAGGGAUCGGACGAUGUUAUUUAGUUGACUCGUUCGGCACCUUACGAGAAAUCAAAGUGCUUGGGCUCCAAGGGGGAGAUAUGAGUCCGCAAGGCUGAACUAGA
rnacentral:rRNA from 1 species